rnacentral:lncRNA from 1 species
UUCCAAAGUAUUUCAGAAAACAUCAUCUGUCUAUUAUUCUUUUCCCAAGUUCAAUGAAAAGCAUGAUCGAUCUUCUUUAUCCUGGUUCAUUGAUUAGGAUUACUCGAUAAUUAUGGUGUUUUCAUGCCAUACCUUAGUUUGUAGAUUAGACGAUCAAUAUCAUAGAAAAACACAUCCAAAGUAGAACUUCUACAUGCAGAGGU